ACAUACCUUGAGGAAUAUGCAUGUAGUGAUGCUCUCCAGGGAUGGCCAGUACUUGACAGUAUGUUGCUUGUGGAUGACUUAAAUCAAACAAAAACUCAUCCAUAAUUUAAAGGGUUUAUUUUACAAUGCAUUACAGUAAUCCUGAAGUAACAAAGAACCAAAGUGUUGCAACACUGUCUUGAAUAGGCUCUGCUUUCUGUUGAGCAGAACUGAUGCUCAGCACAGGAAAAUGCUGACCUACAAUUCCUGCGGUAGCAUGGAAGCAGUUCCUGAGGAUUGAUCCAUGUCCUCAGGUUUAAGCUGUCUACAGAGGCCCCCUUAGAGCACUCAGGGAAAACUAAGCAGUUCCAUAACAGGAUUCAUCUUAUCCCAAGGAAGGUAGCUGAAGUAGGUCAGAUGAAUAACCUUGGCAAAGUGACUACAGCUCUCCUUUUAACUGCAGAGGUGGCAAAAGCUCAGCAAAGGUGUGGACAUCUACUGGACUGUCGUCUA